rnacentral:rRNA from 1 species
GACGAACGCUGGCGGCGUGCUUAACACAUGCAAGUCGAACGGAAAGGCCCUGCUUUUUGGGGUUCUUCAGUGGCCAACGGGGUGGUUAACCCGGAGUUAACUUCCCCUGGCCUUUGGGUUACUUCCAGGAAACUGGGCUUAUACCCGGUAGGAGCCCCCGGCUGCAGGGGGGGGGUGGGAAAUUUUCGGCGGUUGGGGAUGGACUCGCGGCUUAUCAGCUUGUUGGUGGGGUAGUGGCUUACCAAGGCUUUGACGGGUAGCCGGCCUGAGAGGGUGACCGGCCACAUUGGGACUGAGAUACGGCCCAGACUCCUACGGGAGGCAGCAGUGGGGAAUAUUGCACAAUGGGCGGAAGCCUGAUGCAGCAACGCCGCGUGCGGGAUGACGGCCUUCGGGUUGUAAACCGCUUUCGCCUGUGACGAAGCGUGAGUGACGGUAAUGGGUAAAGAAGCACCGGCUAACUACGUG